rnacentral:rRNA from 1 species
CGUAACAAGGUCUCCGUAGGUGAACCUGCGGAGGGAUCAUUACACAAAUAUGAAGGCGGGCUGGAACCUCUCGGGGUUACAGCCUUGCUGAAUUAUUCACCCUUGUCUUUUGCGUACUUCUUGUUUCCUUGGUGGGUUCGCCCACCACUAGGACAAACAUAAACCUUUUGUAAUUGCAAUCAGCGUCAGUAACAAAUUAAUAAUUACAACUUUCAACAACGGAUCUCUUGGUUCUGGCAUCGAUGAUGAACGCAGCGAAAUGCGAUAAGUAGUGUGAAUUGCAGAAUUCAGUGAAUCAUCGAAUCUUUGAACGCACAUUGCGCCCUUUGGUAUUCCAAAGGGCAUGCCUGUUCGAGCGUCAUUUGUACCCUCAAGCUUUGCUUGGUGUUGGGCGUCUUGUCUCUAGCUUUGCUGGAGACUCGCCUUAAAGUAAUUGGCAGCCGGCCUACUGGUUUCGGAGCGCAGCACAAGUCGCACUCUCUAUCAGCAAAGGUCUAGCAUCCAUUAAGCCUUUUUUCAACUUUUGACCUCGGAUCANGNAGGGAUACCCGCUGAACUUAAGCAUAUCA